rnacentral:rRNA from 1 species
AGCUUUUUUACUAUAUUCUAACUUACUGGAGUAAAACCAUAAAUAAAUCAAAACUUUCAACAACGGAUCUCUUAGGUUCUGGCAUCGAUGAAGAACGCAGCAAAAUAGCGAUAAGUAAUAGUGAAUUCGCAGAAUUCAGUGAAUCAUCGAAUCUUUGAACGCACAUUCGCGCCCGCCAGUAUUCUGGCGGGCAUGCCUGUUCGAGCGUCAUUUCAACCCUCAAGCACAGCUUGGUGUUGGGACUCGCGUUAAUUCGCGUUCCCCAAAUUGAUUGGCGGUCACGUCGAGCUUCCAUAGCGUAGUAGUAAAACCCUCGUUACUGGUAAUCGUCGCGGCCACGCCGUUAAACCCCAACUUCUGAAUGUUGACCUCGGAUCAGGUAGGAAUACCCGCUGAACUUAAGCAUAUCAAAACCUGGAAGGAAGUAUCGUAACCCAGUUUACAACUCCCAAACUUGUGAAAUCCCAAGUGUUGCCCGGCGGAAACCCGCGCGAAAAAAGGGGGCCGCCCCCAAAGACACAAAAUCUGUGUUUUUUAUAUGACACUCCGAGAGAAAAAAUAAAUAAAUUCAAACUUUUCAAACGGGAUCUCUUGGGUUCUGGCAUCGAUGAAGAACGCAGCAAAAUGCGAUAAGUAAUGUGAAUUGCAGAAUUCAGUGAAUCAUCGAAUCUUUGAACGCACAUUGCGCCCGCCAGUAUUCUGGCGGGCAUGCCUGUUUCGAGCGUCAUUUCACCUCAACACAGCUGGGGUGUUGGGACCUCCAACUUCCCAAGGGAGAGAUAAAAAACCCCUUUUUAGUGGAUAAUCGCGGCGCCCCGCUUUACACACCUUCUUUAUAAUUGUCUCCCCCUGAUGGUGGGAGAAAAA